UUGGGUGUCUGAACUGCCAGGCCUCAGAAGGAUAAGGAAACGGUCCUUAUGGAGGGAAAAACAUCUUCUGGUCCCCAGUGGUUCCAAGGAAUGGCUUGUCCCCUUAUAUUCUUGGCUCCUGCCAUGCCAUCGUACACAACACUGAGAGAAAUACAUAUGCAGGUGCUGGGGAACACAGAUAUUUAGAAUGCUUUCAUUUAUUAGUGCUACUGCUUCAACUUAUCAACUCAAAUCUUGGUUUAAAGCCACAAGAUUUAUUACCUGCUCAAAUACCUGUCCAUGUUGGAGGUAGGAGCUCGACCUGUAGGAUCUUCUACCAUGGAGGAUCAGAAAAGGACACCAGGGAAGGAAACACUGCAUCUUAUAGAUGCCAACCCCAGAGUGACACCCUUCACAUUAUCUCACGUAGCACUGGCCAAAGUGACAGUCACACAGCCGCCCUCGCCUUCCCUGGGAGGAAGAAGCUCAAUACUACGGCACACCUGUCUUCUCCGCCCACUCUUUGUGUGACCGUGGGCAAGUCAUUCAUUUUCCAGUGCCUUGAUUUCCUUGUUUGCUGAGAAGUGAGGUACAGCAACCCUUUGCUCAGAGGGUUGUUCUGAGAAUCAAAUGUGAGAUAUACAAAAGUGUUAGUUAUCACGAUGAUCUCAUCCAUCCUUAGACAAUAUAAAGUAUUAUUUAUAUGUAUGUGUUUAACACUGAUAACUUACUGCAUGUCCAAUGCUAGUAGAAAUUCAUGAUCUAAUGAAAAACAAAAUUUAUAUGUGUAUAUAAGGAUAGCUGGAAUAGGCAUAUUGCUGGUUCUGCAGUUUAUCGAGAGGAACAGUUAAUGCUUAAAAU